rnacentral:lncRNA from 1 species
CCAUGAGUACCUCUUUUCAAAAGGGUGUUGCAGGCGCCAUAUAUCUAAUAAAUCAAGGUCAUGCAUAACCUCAUGUAUCUUAGCUUUUGACUGGGGGUUAUUUUCAUUUCUAUAAUAUAAUGUGUCCAUCUCAUAAUCUUGAACAACAUUCCAAUCUCCCACGACUACAAUUGACGAGUUGCCAAAGUGGGAUAUUUUGUUUUUUAUGUUGUCAAAAAAGGCUGGUUCAUCAUUAUUCGGUCCAUAUAUUGCUGCCAAAGUUAUACGAUAGUCCUGAAUGGUGAUAUCUAAUAUAAUUACCAGACAAGUCUAUGGUUUCUCCAUGGAUUUUAAAUUCAAAAGUAUUUCUGAAAAGAACAGCUACCCCUCUACUUUUACUAGAAAAAGAACUAAAUUUCCCAACAUAUCCCCAUUCAUGCAGCCAUUGUUUUUCUUUUUCAGAUGUGCUAUGGGUGUCUAUUAAUAUAAUUAUAUCAUAUAAGUCCUUAUAUUUUGUAAAUAUAUCAAUUCUUUUAACUGUUUCUGAUAAACCCCUGCAGUUUACACUACCAAUAGUUAUAGUCGACAUAAUAUUAUCAAGUGGUUAAACAAGAAUAGCUUAAAUAAUAACAAAUAUAAAUAUCUAUAAGCCCAAUAUAUCCAAGCAGUAUCAACAAACCAUACACAUGUGCAUCUAUACGUAAAAGUGUUUUCCCAAUGUUUCAAUUUUUUACUUAGAGUUACCCCCCCCCCCAAAAAGUGUCGAGAGCAUCAUAGUAUAAAUAAAAUGAGCAAAUAUUUUUGUGCUAAAGUAAAACUGAAAGAUAUAUCAAAAAAGUUCUGUGAAACUUCAUUUGUACCUCAAUUUGCACGUUUUAAUUUUAAAUUUGUGUAUUGUUCGAUUUUAAGAGAGACAAAUUGUCAGACAAUGUAUACCAAAGAAUAGCAUAUAUAAUAAUAAAAGUCAAUAUGCUAAUUUAUAAUCCCCAUGCUAAAUAAAAGAAAGUAAAGUAACGAAAAAAAGAAAAAAAAACAAACAUAAUAACAACAGAGCAUUUUUAUCAACACAGGUACAUGCACUAAUACAAUUGAAGAAAAAAGAAAAAAAAAACAAAUAAAAAUAUACACAUACAUAUAUAUGCCAUAAACAUGCACCUUUAAAUCCUGAUACACGAAACAACCAUCUUUUAUAUACAAUUGAAUUAAAAUUGCUGACCCCAUCUUAACUGUACAUGUACAUGCAUCUCUCAUCAGCUCAUUUCAGUGUUACAUGUACAUGUUUAUUGUUUUUAUCCAGAGUGAAACUAACACUUAAAUAUUUAUUGUAUGAUAAAAUGUAUUGACAAGGGUUUCAUUUAAUAAGUGUUUUUUUUAUCAAUCUCACGAUUAUGUGCAGAGAUUCCUCUGAAGUAGUACUAGG